rnacentral:rRNA from 1 species
UGGGGGAUAUUGCACAAUGGGCGAAAGCCUGAUGCAGCGACGCCGCGUGGGGGAUGAAGGCCUUCGGGUUGUAAACUUCUUUUGCUCUGAACAAGGCAUGCUUUUGGGGUGUGUUGAGUGUAGGGGUUGAUUAGCGCCGGCUAACUACGUGCCAGCAGCCGCGGUAAUACGUAGGGCGCGAGCGUUGUCCGGAAUUAUUGGGCGUAAAGGGCUUGUAGGUGGCUGGUUGCGUCUGUCGUGAAAGCUCAUGGCUUAACUGUGGGUUUGCGCUGGGUACGGGCUGGCUUGAGUGCAGUAGGGGGGGCUGGAAUUCCUGGUGUAGCGGUGGAAUGCGCAGAUAUCAGGAGGAAUACCGGUGGCGAAGGCGGGUCUCUGGGCUGUUACUGACGCUGAGGAGCGAAAGCGUGGGGAGCGAACAGG